CCUACGGGGGGCAGCAGUGAGGAAUAUUGGUCAAUGGACGAGAGUCUGAACCAGCCAAGUAGCGUGAAGGAUGGCUGCCCUAUGGGUUGUAAACUUCUUUUAUAUGGGAAUAAAACGUUCCACGUGUGGGAUUUUGUAUGUACCAUAUGAAUAAGGAUCGGCUAACUCCGUGCCAGCAGCCGCGGUAAUACGGAGGAUCCGAGCGUUAUCCGGAUUUAUUGGGUUUAAAGGGAGCGUAGGUGGAUUGUUAAGUCAGUUGUGAAAGUUUGCGGCUCAACCGUAAAAUUGCAGUUGAAACUGGCAGUCUUGAGUACAGUAGAGGUGGGCGGAAUUCGUGGUGUAGCGGUGAAAUGCUUAGAUAUCACGAAGAACUCCGAUUGCGAAGGCAGUUCACUGGACUGCAACUGACACUGAGGCUCGAAAGUGUGGGUAUCAAACAGGAUUAGAUACCCUGGUAGUC
rnacentral:rRNA from 1 species